GUCGGCGGCGAGACGGGCGAGACGAUGGCCCUGUGAGAAGUGCAUUAAAACUGCGUUACAAAUCGAAGAUUCAAUUAAAACGACGGCAGAGCGAAGCAGACAUUUUCCUGCUGUUCUAUCACCUUGGCUCUUUCAUUCAACUGACAGACCAACUCGCAACAUCCCAGAUGCAAAUAUAGAAUAGGAGUAGAAGAUACUUUGAAUGUGGCUUCUAAAACACGUUUUAAAAAUACAUACGUACAUAUAUAUCUGAAGAUAUAUAUAUGUUUUCCGGUCCCUCGCCUGACUAAGAAAAAAGUCCCAGGAAAUUCUACGCCUGACCUUUGUGCAGCAAAUGAGAACCCUUUUUAUGCAAUUUCCAAUAAUGACCGUUAUGGACAAAGUAAUUUCCUGCUGUAAAACCUUUUAGGAUCUCUCCUUUUCCAGGGCCGUUGGAUACAUGGAUUUUUUAUUUAUUUUUUUUUUUUGGAAAA